ACCUCCUAUGUGGGUCUUUGAGAAGCACAAGUCUUCUGCAGCUGACAAACCCUGCCGCCCACAGUUCCACACACACAGUCAACACAGUCCUGCCCCGUGUGAGCGCCCCGACCUCCCCAAGCGGACCCAGUCUCUCCACAGCGGGAGCCCCACACACUCCGCCACCGCCCCACACUCUCCACCCGCUCCUUGUGCACACUCUGCCCCGCUCAAGUCGGCUCAGUUGCCAGGCUGCAGAGAAUCCAGUCACCAAUCUAUGCAGGCCCACAAGUUGCCUGAGGGCUUGUUGUUGGGUGGGGCCAGUCUCUAGGGUGGGCUGCCUGCCCCGGCUGAGCUGGAUUAAAUCGGUGCUCUAGUGGGUGGGGCAGACCCUGGGCUAGCAGGCCUCAGGGAGAACUCCAAUGGCAUCUGUGUCAGCACGCCCACACCAGGCCACAACAAUGGCCACCGCCAAUGUCCCAGUCCCUGGAGAGGUCUCACCCCUCACCGAGAUGCACUCAGGGCCUAUUAGUGUCUACAACACUGCCUGGAAUGAAGUAGAUUUUCCAUAAACUUUGCUGUGUGAUUGGAAGAACGAAUAAAUAAAGCAAUUUGGAUUCUAGCAGCUGUUUGAGUGGACACCACUGAUUAUCUCUACAUGUCUCCAUUCUGCACCAAUCAUUCUGGACACUGACCCAUAGAAUAGAUCGAAUGACUCCUUUGACCUCCAGCUUCUGGUUGGGAUCACUAGGAGGCUUUGGCAGGAGAUCUUGAAGGUAUGAGCUUUUCAAGUUUCAGGGCAAUGCAUCUCAACGCCGACCAUGUAUUAGAAUCACCUGGGGAGUUUUAAAAACUACCAACGAUUGGUUCCACCUGCAGACCAAUUAAAUCAGACUUGAUUACGUUUUACAUUUUCAGCUUCCAGUCCUGAAUGACUUAGAUAUAACAUCUCAUUUUAUGAUCCAAAAACGCUGAGCUGGAGUCAGAAGGAAAGGUGACUAUGGAAGAAUGGUCAGAGAGAUGCAAGAUUGCUGGCUUUGAAGUUGGGGAACAGGGCCAGGAGGCAAGGAAUGUUGGAAACUUCUAGAAGCUGGAAAAGGUAAGGAAACAAACUCUCUUCUAGAUCAUCCAGGAAGAACUAUAACCCUGCGUACUUCUUGAUUUUAGCAUGGUAAGACCUGAAUUGGACUUCUACAGAACUCGGAGGUAAAAUUUUGUGUUAAGCUAUCAGGUUUGUUGUAACUUUUUACAGCAGCAAUAGAAAAAUUGUGCAUGGUGUAUUUUGGCCAUACAGCUAUCAUGUUUGUAUAUGUAACUGGUAAACUUAUUAAUUCAAUAAAUAUUUCUUGAUAAUAAUUAUGACGAUAGCUAGGAGAAAUAAUAUCAGACUUGGAGAUAAAAGUCUUGGUACCUCAUACUUUCAUGUGCAAAAGAAUUGACAUGGUUUUUAUUUUAAAAUGCUGAUUCAUGGUAUCUAUAUCAAGAAUUUCUGAUUCAGAAGUUCUAGAGCAGGAUCCCGAUGGAGAUGCGAGAUGGAAUAGUCACUUUAGGAAAUGGUUUAGAAUUUGGAAACCCAAAUGUUCAUCAUCUGCCAAAUGAAUUGGAUGUAACACACCCAUACAAUGGAAUACUUCUCAGAAAUAAAAAAAUUGCAAACUACUAAUAAAUGCAGUGAUAUGUAUGAAUCUCAAAGUCAUUAAUAUUAAAGUGAUUAGACAUAAAAGGCAAUAUAUGGUAUGUUUCCACUUAUAGGAUACUCUGAAAAAGGAAAAACUGAAGAAAAGGACAGAAUCAUAUCAAAAUUGCCAAAGGCUGGGGGUUGAUGGAGGGGAUUGAUUGCAAUUGAUUGCAGAGUGGUGAGAGAACUUUGUAGGAUGAUAAAAAUGUUUUAUCUUUAUUUGGUGGUGGUUGUAAGACAGUAUAUAUUUGUGAAAACUCAUUGAACUUUACACUUAAAGAGGGUGAACUUUACUAUAUGUAAAUUAUACCUUAGUAAAUCUGGCUUUUAAAAAAAUGUCUGUUUAGCUAUGUCUUACUCAGUCUUUCACAGAACUUAGUUAAAACUGAAAUGUCCUUUUAAGUCAAACUACAACCAUCUCACUCAGUAUAGGAGAUAUUGAGCUCAUAAAUUUCAGGGCAAGGUACAGAAACCAAGUUCUUUCACUUGACUCUCAACCAAGUACUAAUUAAGCCGUAAAACCCCAAUGAAAAUAAAAUAAUAGGAAUUCUCAUGAGGCUCUAAAAGGACUCAACUCUGAUCCAAUUUUCAAACUAUAUCCAAAGAGAGCCAUGAAUUUCAGAUAAUAGUGUGCGUAAAGACUAUCCCGCCCCAACUCAUCUUCCAAAAAAUGAGAAAAAAAAAUUACCAGAAUGUUGUAAAGGAACCUCUGAAUUCAUCUUUUUCUUCUGUGAAUCCACUUGGUUUUGUAGUAUGAGUUCAUUUCCUUUCCUAUGAAUUCUCACAAUUAAAAAUGUUCUUGUUAAGACAUGGAGAGGAAUCUUAUCUCUAGCAAAACAAUAGACUGAUUUUUAAAAUAAAAUCACUUUAAAAUGACUAAAAUUGAUAUCAUAUAAAGGACUAGGGAUUCUGUUUAGUGGCUUUUAGUUUUUAAAAAGCCUGAGAUCUUGCACAAAAUAUAUUGAUAUAUUUUAAAAUACUCAU